rnacentral:rRNA from 1 species
UAGGGAAUCUUCGGCAAUGGGGGCAACCCUGACCGAGCAACGCCGCGUGAGUGAAGAAGGUUUUCGGAUCGUAAAGCUCUGUUGUAAGAGAAGAACGUGUGUGAGAGUGGAAAGUUCACACAGUGACGGUAACUUACCAGAAAGGGACGGCUAACUACGUGCCAGCAGCCGCGGAAAUACGUAGGUCCCGAGCGUUGUCCGGAUUUAUUGGGCGUAAAGCGAGCGCAGGCGGUUUAAUAAGUCUGAAGUUAAAGGCAGUGGCUUAACCAUUGUUCGCUUUGGAAACUGUUAAGCUUGAGUGCAGAAGGGGAGAGUGGAAUUCCAUGUGUAGCGGUGAAAUGCGUAGAUAUAUGGAGGAACACCGGUGGCGAAAGCGGCUCUCUGGUCUGUAACUGACGCUGAGGCUCGAAAGCGUGGGGAGCAAACAGG